rnacentral:rRNA from 1 species
UACGUAGGGCGCGAGCGUUGUCCGGAAUUAUUGGGCGUAAAGAGCUUGUAGGCGGUUUGUCGCGUCUGCCGUGAAAUUUCGGGGCUCAACCCCGAACUUGCGGUGGGUACGGGCAGACUAGAGUGUGGUAGGGGAGACUGGAAUUCCUGGUGUAGCGGUGAAAUGCGCAGAUAUCAGGAGGAACACCGAUGGCGAAGGCAGGUCUCUGGGCCACUACUGACGCUGAGAAGCGAAAGCAUGGGGAGCGAACAGG